AAAUAUGAGAGAGGUGUUGCAUUCUUCUCAACUCGUCCGCACCAAAGCAGAUGCAAUGAGGCUCUUCGGCAAACACAUAUUCCCCAGACAAAUAGUGUUAUUUGCCUCCGGGCUUCUCGUCUUGGGAGCGACGACGUAUGACGUGCACAGAUCAAUUAAGAACAACGGGAAGCCACCUUCCAAGGAGCAGCUCCAAGCCCUUCAAGAUUACCUCCACUCCAAGCGCCACCCUUCUACUCCGUCCCCUCCGCCUCUUCCUCCUCCUCCUCCUCCUCCACCCACUCUUAUUAAAGAAAACUGAGUCCGCUAUUUUUUUUUAAUAUAUAUGUAUCCAAUGUUAUAGAACAUGGGCUGCUUGUUUAAUUUACCUUGGCUUCUCUGUGAGAGAUCUCUCUCUUGAGACCUGACAUAUUGUCUUGUGCUGUUAACGGUUGCAACUUUAAGAAUACGAGCAUGUCGGACUUCUGUUCGAUGAUAUUACUCAA